rnacentral:lncRNA from 1 species
UUCCCAUUAUAGUAUCAAAUCGAUACAUAUGUUGUUAUUGUUUUGUACUUUGAUUUCAUAUUUAUUCGCGUGCCCGUUAUCCAUUGGAUAACAACCCUAGAUUGAUGGAUAACAAACCUAGAUUGACUUGAUGCAGACGGUUCGGUUCAAUGGGUUUUUAGGCCAAAACAGGCCUUAAUAACCAAUGGGCUACACCCCCUUUCACAACCCAACCCAUCAUGGCCAACAACACAGUUUACGGCCCUAGACUUGAACCUUGGACCAAGGGUUCAAGGUUAGCAUGGUUGCACCAACUUGCUAC